rnacentral:misc_RNA from 1 species
GAAAUGCGAUAAGUAAUGUGAAUUGCAGAAUUCAGUGAAUCAUCGAAUCUUUGAACGCACCUUGCGCUCCUUGGUAUUCCUUGGAGCAUGCCUGUUUGAGUAUCAUGAAAUCUUCAAAGUAAAUCUUUUGUUAACUCAAUUGGUUUCUACUUUGGUAUUGGAGGUCUUUGCAGCUUCACACCUGCUCCUCUUUGUUCAUUAGCUGGAUCUCAGUGUUAUGCUUGGUUCCGCUCGGCGUGAUAAGUUAUCUAUCGCUGAGGACACUGUAAAAGGUGGCCAAGGUAAAUGCAGAUGAACCGCUUCUAAUAGUCCAUUGACUUGGACAAUACUUUUAUGAUCUGAUCUCCAAUCAGGUAGGACUACCCGCUGAACUUAAGC